rnacentral:rRNA from 1 species
AUUGAACGCUGGCGGCAUGCCUUACACAUGCAAGUCGAACGGUAACAGGUCUUCGGAUGCUGACGAGUGGCGAACGGGUGAGUAAAGCAUCGGAACGUGCCCAGUCGUGGGGGAUAACUGCUCGAAAGAGCAGCUAAUACCGCAUACGACCUAAGGGUGAAAGCGGGGGAACUUCGGGCCUCGCGCGAUUGGAGCGGCCGAUGUCAGAUUAGAUAGUUGGUGGGGUAAAGGCUUACUAAGUCGACGAUCUGUAGCUGGUCUGAGAGGACGACCAGCCACACGGGGACUGAGAAACGGACCAGGCUCCUACGGGAGGCAGCAGUGGGGAAUUUUAGACAAUGGGCGAAAGCCUGAUCCAGCAAUGCCGCGUGCAGGAAGAAGGCCUUAGGGUUGUAAACUGCUUUUGUACGGAACGAAAAGGUUCUUUUUAAUAAAGAGGACUGAUGACGGUACCGUAAGAAUAAGCACCGGCUAACUACGUGCCAGCCGCCGCGGUAA